rnacentral:rRNA from 1 species
CUUGCAGCUUUCAGCGAUGGAUGUCUUGGCUCGGACACUGAUGAAGGGCGCAGCGAAGUGCGAUGAGCAUUGUGAAUUGCAGAAUUCCGUGAACCAAUAGGAAUUUGAAUGUGCAUUGCGCUUUUGGGAUAUCCCUGCAAGCAUGUCUGCUUCGGAGUCUACGUUUCCUU